AUUUAAUACUGAUACAACAACAAUUAUUUUUGCUCUCAACCACUUGGGUUUUUCCCUCCUUUUAAUUCCUGGGGGAGAAAAACACGUCCCGUCAAAUCAAAAUGAUUUUUUUUUUAAUUCUUAUGACAGUGUGAUUAUAUAGAACAUGAAGUCUCUUCUUUUACCAAGUAGGAAGUACUUUGAACUUGUUAGAUAAUGACACAUCAGUGGUUAUUUUUGAUGAACUUCUUAAGAAUACUAAAUAGAUUUGAAUUAAAAUUUUUUACUAAUUCUCAUUUAAUAUUCAUUCUUUAGAACUGCAGUCAGCCGGGAGAAAUAAAGUCUUCACUCUAAUAAUCUUUCAUCUUUCUAAUUGAAUUGAUGUAUAUCUGCUAUUUUCAAAUCUCUAAAGGAAUGACCAUACCUGACCUUGGACAAAGGUCUUGGGAUUUGAUACCUUGAGGGUAGAGUUUAGAAAAGGUGAUUGUUAUUAUUCAAUGUUAACAGCUGUAGAGCUCACAGAGAACUCAUUUCCUUAGGAUUUUCUAAUAAAUACUGCUUAAUUUAGCAAAAUUGUCCUUUUCCAAAUGUACCUCUUUUCUUGUUAGGUAUCAAAAUGUAUUUGGACUUUCAUGGCUUAAUAAGACAAGGAUUUCAAGUAGCAAAGAGGCAACAGGGCUGAACUCCUUAGAGCACAGCAGAACUGAAAAGGUGCACGAGAACUGCAAACCACUGCCGUCCGUCCUGACAAACGCCUCGCCCUUGCAGAAACUCUCACGACCCGUGUCAUAGACACAGGCCUUGAUCUCAUCAUCGGUGCAGGAAAAAACAAACCCUCAACGUGCGUGUCUGAAACAAGUGUGCGACUUCGCCCCGACUCCCGAGACGCUGCUUACGUUAGGGAAGCCGGAGUGUGAAAGACAAUGAGGAUUUCCUUGUCUUUGGCAGGACAAAUCAG
rnacentral:lncRNA from 1 species